GUGGCAAUCGCCUGUAGUCUCAGUUACUCGGGAGGCCGAGGCAGAAGAAUCGCUUGAACCUGGGAGGCGGAGGUUGCAGUGAGCCAAGUUGGCGCCACUGCACUCCAGCCUGGUGACAGAGCAAGACUCCAUCUCAAAAAAAAAAAAGAACAUUCAAUGUUUCAGCUAGGACCUCUAUCUAAAUGUUCUUUGCUGGGUCAAGUAGCAGACUAUUUCUUUGUAUCGCUUUUUGUUUUCCUACCACUGAUAAUGGCUUCUCUUUUCCUUUGUUUUGUAGACAGAGUCUCGCUCUGUUGCCCAGGCUGGAGCGCAGUGCCGCAAUCUCUCGGCUCACUGCAGC
rnacentral:lncRNA from 10 species